rnacentral:rRNA from 1 species
GACGAACGCUGGCGGCGUGCUUAACACAUGCAAGUCGAACGGAAAGGCCCUGCUUUUGUGGGGUGCUCGAGUGGCGAACGGGUGAGUAACACGUGAGUAACCUGCCCUUGACUUUGGGAUAACUUCAGGAAACUGGGGCUAAUACCGGAUAGGAGCUCCUGCUGCAUGGUGGGGGUUGGAAAGUUUCGGCGGUUGGGGAUGGACUCGCGGCUUAUCAGCUUGUUGGUGGGGUAGUGGCUUACCAAGGCUUUGACGGGUAGCCGGCCUGAGAGGGUGACCGGCCACAUUGGGACUGAGAUACGGCCCAGACUCCUACGGGGGCAGCAGUGGGGAAUAUUGCACAAUGGGCGGAAGCCUGAUGCAGCAACGCCGCGUGCGGGAUGACGGCCUUCGGGUUGUAAACCGCUUUCGCCUGUGACGAAGCGUGAGUGACGGUAAUGGGUAAAGAAGCACCGGCUAACUACGUG